rnacentral:rRNA from 1 species
GAAUCCCGUAUGUGGCACGGGCUCCCGUUACUCUGUGAUACACUCUCAACGAGUCGAGUUGUUUGGGAAUGCAGCUCCAAAUGGGUGGUAAAUGCCAUCUAAAGCUAAAUAUUGGCGAGAGACCGAUAGCAAACAAGUACCGUGAGGGAAAGAUGAAAAGCACUUUGGAAAGAGAGUGAAACAGUACGUGAAAUUGUUGAAAGGGAAACGCUUGAAGUCAGUCGUGCCCUUUGGGAUUCAGCCUUGCUUCUGCUUGGUUUACUUCUCUUUGGGUGGGUCAACAUCAGUUUGGGUCGGAGGAGAAAGACUUGGGGAAGGUGGCAGCAUUCGUGCUGUGUUAUAGCCCCUUGUUGUAUACUUCGAUUUGGACUGAGGACCGCAGCACGCCUUUGGCCGGGGCUCGCCCACGUACGUGCUUAGGAUGUUGGCAUAAUGGCUUUAAGCGACCCGUCUUGAAACACGGACCAAGGAGUCUAACAUGUGCGCGAGUGUUUGAGUGUUAAACUCAGACGCGAAAUGAAAGUGAAAGGUUGGGAACACUUAUGUGUGCACCGACGCCCGGAGCUGACCUUCUGUGACGCAUCUGCGGUAGAGCGUAUAUGUUGGGACCCGAAAGAUGGUGAACUAUGCCUGAAUAGGGUGAAGCCAGAGGAAACUCUGGUGGAGGCUCGUAGCGAUUCUGACGUGCAAAUCGAUCGUCAAAUUUGGGUAUAGGGGCGAAAGACUAAUCGAACCAUCUAGUAGCUGGUUCCUGCC